UAUGAACGCUGGCGGCGUGCCUAAUACAUGCAAGUCGAGCGAACAGACGAGGAGCUUGCUCCUCUGACGUUAGCGGCGGACGGGUGAGUAACACGUGGAUAACCUACCUAUAAGACUGGGAUAACUUCGGGAAACCGGAGCUAAUACCGGAUAAUAUAUUGAACCGCAUGGUUCAAUAGUGAAAGACGGUUUUGCUGUCACUUAUAGAUGGAUCCGCGCCGCAUUAGCUAGUUGGUAAGGUAACGGCUUACCAAGGCAACGAUGCGUAGCCGACCUGAGAGGGUGAUCGGCCACACUGGAACUGAGACACGGUCCAGACUCCUACGGGAGGCAGCAGUAGGGAAUCUUCCGCAAUGGGCGAAAGCCUGACGGAGCAACGCCGCGUGAGUGAUGAAGGUCUUCGGAUCGUAAAACUCUGUUAUUAGGGAAGAACAAAUGUGUAAGUAAGUAUGCACGUCUUGACGGUACCUAAUCAGAGAGCCACGGCUAACUACGUG
rnacentral:rRNA from 1 species